rnacentral:lncRNA from 1 species
CAGGAAGCAAGCCAUGUGCAUCAAUUAUCAGGAACGCUUUAAUCCAACUGGGACCCCAAACAAACACCCCGUUUUAAUCCCGGGUGAAGUGAUACAAACAAUUUACAAAGCCUCACGACCCGGCAGCAACCCGAGUAAGUAGACCGUGAUCUUGCAGACAAUAAAAUGCAAGCCCGUGCUCAUACAUUGUAGGGGAUUGAAUGCGCCUUAAACAAAAGGAUGCUAUCUCCAAAAUAGCACGCUCACUGCCUUUGCUGGGCACUCAGCACGGUACCUGGCCUGUAGGUUGUCAGAUUCCACUGGGCUUAGAAUAAAAUCCAAACUCUUUACCGUUGCCUCCUAGGUCUUACGUGAUCUGGCGAAACUCAUCUGCCUCCUAAGCUCCAACGCCACUGCUUUUCUUUCCCUGUCUCCAGCACUCAGCUCCUUCGGGUCUAUGGCAAUUGUACUUGCUGUUCCUCCUGCCUGGAUUAGUCCUACAGCUUGCCCUGACUGCAUCCUUCUCAUCAUUCAGAUCUCAACGCAAGCAUCACCUCCUUCCUCUGAGGCCUUGGCCUUCAACAUCCCAUUCCCUACCCCACAUCAUUCCAGACUGGAAGCUCUAGAGCUGGCAUUAGAACACUGUCUGGCCCACAAGCCUUCAAUACUUCAACAAAUGCUUGUUGAAUCCAAAAACGCUGAUUACCCUUCAAUCUGCCAGCUCACCCCACUCCCUCUCAAAAUACCUAGGAGAAUUAAUUUACAAAGAAAACAUAAGCAAGCGACAGCGUAACACAUCGACUCAAAACAAAGCCGGUAAUCCGGGGCUGAACUGGUCAACGGCAUUUAAAGAAGGCCCCAAGAAAACCCUUUCCUGAUCGUGCACACACUUUUCAAGAGGCGAAACCAGGGGGACAGGGCGGUCGGCGGCGCAGCGCUGCCUACCUUGAACUCCGCGGAAAGUUGGGGCGUGUAUUCGCGAGUCCAGAGCGCGCGCACCAGCGCCGCCAGCUGCUCGGUGACCUCGGCGCGGCCCGGAGCCGCCCGGUAGCGCCCCAGCGCCAGGAACUCGGCCAGCAGGUCGGUGUUGCUGAGACACUGCACCACCGCGUUCAUGAAACAGGUGUUGCCGUGGUUCUUCAAGCCCUGAGCGCCCGGCGGCCGCGCCCCAUCGCCGGCGGGGAGCUGGAGCUGGGGCUGGGGUCCGGGCGGGCGUUCCUCCCCGGGGCUCCCGGGGGCCGCUGGAACUGGGCCCGGGGCGCAGGCGAAGCCCCCCUCACCGUCGCCAUCACAGUGUCCCGGCUGGGGCCGGGGCGGUGAGUCCCCGGGGCGUGAGCGGCUGCCCAGCGCCAGCAGGAAGCGGCUGAACAGGCGGCGCAGGGAGCGGCGGCGGCGGGGCCGGGGCGCGAGCGGUCCCCCUCCUGCCGCGUCCCCGGGGCCCAGGUCCAUGGCUGCCGCCGGCGCAGCUCCAGGCGCGGAGCCCCCGGGCGCGAGGCGGACGAGCGGCCAGCAGGCCCUACAGCUUCUCUAAGGCUCCUGGUGCCGGCUACCUGCGGGCCAGGUGUGCGGGGACGGGGCGGAGGCGGAGCCAAGGGCGGGGCAGCCCCGCCCCGCGCGGGAAUCCGGCGGCACGACCAGCCCCCUCCAGGGCAGCGCCGGGCCACCCCUACCCCUGCCUGGUGCCGCCCCCGCUGCGCUGACUGGGAGUCUUCGUGGUCGGAUUCCCCACCCUUCCUUACCUCGUAAACCGACAGACCUGGGUUUCGCCGCUGCUCCUGUUCCUCGAGCAGCCUUCAAGCAGUGGAAAUUACGGAGAAAUGAACAUUCUGAAAGCGCCUAGUAAAUGGUAAAGGCCUGGCUACUGCAGGAAGAAAAGGGCAAGGCAGGCAUCUCCAGAGCACAGCCUCGGGCGUGGUGAGAGGCGCGCGCUGGGCGCUGUGUGGGGGUGGGGAGCGCUUUUGUGCACCGCUGGUUCCUCCGCAGGCUCAGGUGUGUGCGGACAGGUGUCGCCACCUCCUUCCAGACCGUCUGCCCCUUGGGGGGAGGCAGAGUCUGUGCCUGCACCCGCCAACCCGGGACCUGAACUGGGAGCCACGUGUUGCCCUGUGAAAAAAGCCCCCGAGUGGUUGUGGUUUGCUUUUUUACACCACAGAUUGGGUUAGAAUCAUUUUCCAAAAACUUGCAAGACUUGAUCACCCUUGCUUUAAUCGGCAAGGAAGGGGGCUCAGAGAGGUUAUCGCAACGUAGGGAGGCCGCCCGAUCCGUAAGCAGGGAAACCGGAACUCGACCUGGAUCUAUGGACUGCCAAGUUCAGGCCCUUUCCAGCCUCAGUAUUUGCUAACCAGGAAGUUUUCAGGCUCUCAGGCGCGCCCCCUACGCGGUUUCUGGUUCACUCCUUAACGCACGAUCCUUGUUGAAUGAUUGCCCAAUCAGAAUUAGUUUGGCCUUGCCCCGCCCUUGAUUCCCUGGGUAACCCUGGGCCCCUCCCCCACCCCUCACUUUAUCCCAUGCAACUGUCAGGUUUAUAAUUAAUCAGGCAAGGUCUUGCAAAAUGACUUUCUCGUCAAUUUCUAGCUCAGGAAGAGAUCAGCACCAUGUGAGAUGCAGUAUUCUAACGCUCUGAAAUGUUACUUGUUGUUUAAUAAGUGAUCAUCAUUUAUUAAAUAUUCUUGAUCCUGGCCGGGCGCGGUGGCUCACGCCUGUAAUCCCAGCACCUUGGGAGGCCGAGACGGGCGGAUCACCUGAGGUCAGGAGUUCAAGACCAGCCUGGCCAACAUGGUGAAACCCCGUCUCGACUAAAAAUACAAAAUUAGCCAGGCGUGGUGGCGCAUGCCUGUAAUCCUAGCUACUCAGGAGGCUGAGGCAGGAGAAUCGCUUGAUUCAGUGAGCCGAGAUCGCGCCAUUGCACUCCAGCCGGGCGACAAGAGCUAAAUUGCGACAAGAGCUAAAUUCCGUCUCAAAAAACAAACAAACAAACAAAAAACUUGAUCUUUCAAACCGGGUUACAGCAGUUACCUCAUGCAAAAAAGCAGCCUUACUUAAAGGAUAAAUAACAUGCUUAAAACAUCAGACGGUACUGUGAAUCGGAGACUUGCGUUCUGGAAAAUGCCAUUAUUUACCCCUCUCUGGAAAAAGAUACCCGGCUGGGUGAUUAAUACACAAGGACACAAGGUCCAUUUCAUCACCCUUCUGGUGGAAAGCACAGAAGAAAGAUGUAAUGGCCAACUCCAAUAAAGCAUCUCUGUAAUUUCA